UGGGCUGGGCUGGGCUGGGCUGGAGUUAGGCAGUGAGCUGUGCCUGACAAACCAUUCUGUUGGAUAAAGAUCUGAACGGGAAAAGCCCAGUCCAGUCUCUUGUCCCUCAGCAACCCCUUCCUGGCAAGCACUUUAAAGACCCUGAGACCAAUGACUCUGAACUGAGUCUGAAGGCCAGGGCAGCUCGGAGUCAAAUGGAGCUCAGACCACCCAAGACCACACCCAGAGCAUCCCUGCUGGGGCUACAGAAAAUAAUACAAGAUCUGUGGCAAGGAACAGGAAACGACCCUCACUAAACUUGUCCGGCCCCUUUUAGCUGAAGGUAGAAGGUUCCUUCUCGGCAACAUCACAAGUUCGGGACCAACCAGGGCUAUAUGAGAUGUCAACUCAAAAAAUCAAAAUACAUACAUACAUACAUACAUACAUACAUACAUACAUACAUACAUACAUACAUAGUGAGUUUUGGGCCAGACAGGACUAUAUAUAAAGAUCUUGUCUUAAAAAUAACAAACAAAACCAAAAAACAGAAAUACUGACAGAAAACCACUGUUCAAGCUGGAGCAGACAAGCCCAACAGCCAGACAGGAAGAGAAAAGAACAUGGGAAAAACACACCAAACACCCCUUCACUCCUCCACUAGAAGGCAGGGCUCUUCUGUGAGGGCAGAGAGGACAUGCAAGCUGGGAAUGCCCCGGGCCUUGGUAGAGUAAUCCUCAUUGUUUACUAGUCCAGGCCAAAAAGGAAAAGCCCCUAAGAACAUGAGCAGAACAACCAGAGAGACCAGGAGCUGUGCCUAGCGAAAGUGUUUGAAAACUCUGACACCUCCUCCUGGAGUCAGACGUCACGGAAGGGUCUUGAGGACAAAUAAGAAACAGGCUAGGCCCACAGGGUCGGCAUUCAUCUCGAUGGGCAGACACCAGCUCGAACAGUCCCCAACACCACAGAAACCGUGUGAACACAUGCAAUCCCAGCACUGGGAGGCGGAGGAUCAGAAGUUCAAAGUCGCCCUGAGCCGGGUUCCAGGGGCUGUGAUAGACUAUUCUCAAAAGGGAGAGAGCUGAGAGGGAGAGAGGGCAAAACCAACAAUCGAGUUCCUAGACAGGAACUCAUUAAACAGGGUGGGGAGCCAGGCAGACUUGAAGCAUGAGGUAGGGAGGCACGUCACCAGGUCCUGGUCCAUUCUCUGCACCUUCUUUGGUUUCUAGCCGUCAGGUUCAGAUCCUCCUGUGACCUGCCACCUCCGUCGUGCUGGGAACCGUAGUCAGGUUGCCAUGACUACAGAAAAGCGCAAUAGCCACCUUACUGCAAUGUCAACGAAACUUUCCCCUAAAGGAGUGUUAGUCUUCUGCAUCUAAGCUUUGGUGAGUAAACUUCUGGAGGACCCUACUGGCUGUUGCAUGCUCCAAACCAGAUGAUGUCCUCAGACCUCCAGAUCUGCCUCCUCAGCCUGACGCAGGACAUGCAUUUGGUUACCCUGCAGAACUAAAACCCCACACCCUUCAAGUCGGAAGGGCAUCCAAACCUCGUAAACUCUACUGUGUAACUCAGAGCUGAUGGAGAGUUGCCAGUGCAGUCCCUGCAAUUCCUUUGUUUUGAGUUGGUUUUGUUUUGCUUUUGUUUUCCCACACACUCCUGUAGCCAAUCCUGGCUUUGAAUUCCUAACUCUCGCCUCUAGCUCCCACAUGCUGGGGUUAUAAGCAUGGGACACUGUUAUGGUUGGUGUGGCCAAUUUGACAGAAUCUAAGAUUGCCUGGAAGAUGAGCCUCCAAGUGUAUCUAUGUAGGGGAUGAUCAAUGAUCUGGACUGCUUUAUUUAGAGUGGGAAAAUCUGCCCACUAUGGGUGGUACAAUUCCUUCUGCCCACUAUAGGUGGUACAAUUCCUUCUGCCCACUAUGGGUAGUACAAUUCCUUCUGCCCACUAUGGGUAGUACAAUUCCUUCUGCCCACUAUGGGUAGUACAAUUCCUUCUGCCCACUAUGGGUAGUACAAUUCCUUCUGCCCACUAUGGGUGGUACAAUUCCUUCUGCCCACUAUGGGUGGUACAAUUCCUUCUGCCUACUAUGGGUGGUACAGUUCCUCCUACAAAGGAUCCUGGACUGAAUAAAAGGAUAAAAUGAUCUAAGCAAGGUUCACUCUUCCUCCCUCCCUCCCUCCCUCCCUCUCCUUCCUCCCCUCCUUCUCCCCCUCUUCCUCACACUGGUUCUUGGCUGCCAAGAUGAUGUGACCAACUCUUUCAAGUUCCUGCUGCCUUAAAUUAGCUUCCAUGAUGGACUGUACCUUGAACUGUGAACCUUUCACAGUCAUUUGAACCUUUCCUCCCUAGAGUUUUUUGUGUCACAGUAUUUAAUCACACGAACAAGAAAAUAAACUAAGAAAGAUACCGUGCGUAAAUUUAACUUUCAUGAAACGGGGUCUUUCUCUGCAGCACAAAGAGCCCUUGAAUUCCAGGUCCUCUUGCCUCAUCCUCUCAAGUACUAGAAUCAUAUGUGUAUAGCAUCCCUGGCUUAAAGCAGUGUUUUAUUGUUUGCUAUUUAUUUGGAGGGGUGUGUGGUUGUGUGUGUGUGUGUGUGUGUGUGUGAAUGUGUAUGUGUGCACACAUACAUACACCACAGCAUGCAUAGAGAUCAGAGCUCAAACUAUGGGAAUCUGUUUUCUCCUUCUAUCCUGUGGGUUUAGGAGCUCAAACUCAGGUCCAGACCAGGCUUGGUAUCAAGCACCUUUAAACAUUGAAUUAUCUCACCGGACUCCAAAAACCCUUUUAAAAAGGCUUCUGAGAAAGAAUAGAUAGCACGUCUUGACGUGUUCACAUUUGGAAAAAGUCCAGAACUGCCUAGAUUGUAGCAGCUCAAAAAAUUAGAAACUGAGAGGCCUGAGGUCAAUGAGAUAGGCCUGAACGGAAUUCAUUCCACACCGAGUUUAACUGACUAUUUAACCCUGCACAUGUGCACCCGCUCAGGGGAAACUAGAGGGUAUUGCCAUGACGACAUCUGCACGUUCUCUGAACCAAAUUAUGGAAGCAGCCGAGGGGCAGAAUGGAGCUCAGACUGUAUAGUGCUUACCGAGCACGCACAAAGUCCUGGAUUUGCUGCCAGCAAGGAAAAACGUCAGAUGUGGUGAUGCAUGCCUGUAAUCCCAGGACGGGGGACGUUGAGGCAGGAGGAUCAGGGAGUACAAAAUCAGCCCGGGGUACAUGAGAGACGCUGACUUAGAAAGAAAAGGAACAGAAAACAGAGAAGACACGUUCUAGAUAAGACAAGAAGAACGAGGCCUCCUGUUAAGAUGGUGUCAAUGUAAGCUGCUCAAAACAGGACAACCCUUGUUAGAAUGGCCGCUAUGACGGAGUGAGUAUACAGCACUACAGUGCUGGGUUUCUCAGAGCCAUUCUCAUCCGCUGAGUCACGUGCUUUACCACACUCACCGCCCACCCCAGAGCAUUCCUCUCUCCCCUCUCCUGCCAGUCUGCCUUCUCCCAGAAAAUCUUGCUUCUACUUCAUGUCUCUCUCACACCUAUACACAUGUAUACACACCUACACACAUAUGUAUCUAUCAACGAUCCAGAGAUGAGAGAAGGCAAGUGAUAAUUGUCUGCCUGGGUUGUUUCGUUACUAGGAUCUGCGCUUCCAUCCACUUUCCUGGGUUAUCACUUCCUUAUUUAUGGCUGUGUAAGACUCUACUGUAUGCAUGUGUGUGUGUGUGUGUGUGUGUGUGUGUGUGUGUGUGUGUGUGACACUGGCCUUACUCAUCUGUUGACUGACAUCUAAGAGACUGAGUGAGGGACAGAGCUCUGAUGUCCGCACACAGACAAAUGCACCUCAUACAUGUGGACACACACAGAGUACUUUAGGAGGCGUGGUUUGAAGGAAGCUACAUAAGCUAUAAUACCCACACACUACUUUCCCUUUUUGUUUUUUUCAUGUAUUUUAUGUGCACGACUGUUUUCCCUAUCUGCAUGUAUUUGCACUGUACGCAUGCCUGGUGUCUUCAGCAGUCAGAAGGCAUCAGACCCUGAGAACUGGGGUUACAGACAGUUAUAAGUCACUAUGUGGGCACCAGAAACCAAAGCUGGGGCACGUCCAUUAACAACAAAUGUUCUAACUACCUCGCCAGGCCCUCCACUGUACUAACAGGGUCUUAGCACCUCCUAAGGUCCCUCCUGUCUCUGCUCUGUACCACGGAGCCAACAGGACCAUUCAACAGUGUCCAGCCCUUUAAAUGGGUUCUUGGAGACCAUUAGGUUCUCAUUCUUGCAUGGUUAAUACUUUACAUCGCCCUGGUCCUCAAAGUAUAUGUUUUUUAAGUGCUCUGCAAUCCAGCUGACCUAAGACUUUCCCAUACUUACAGAGAGGUCAUAUUUUGUGCAUCUGGGCUGAAAUGUAGACAGUAGAUGAUGAGCCUGUCCAGAAUGCUGUGGUGCUCUGUUGAUUCAGCACUCAAUCCUUUUGUAAGUUUCCCUCUCAGUUUAUUUUGCUCUUGUUUGGCAAUAUACUAGAAUUUUCCAGAGACUUCUAAAUACUCAGGUGCCUGGGAUUCUGAUUUAAUGAACAUAGAGGGCAUCGGGGGGUUUCAAGAGUUCCCCAGGUGUGAUUAGGAAACAACAUCAGAUGGCUUUUCAUGCUUCUAUCUUCCCCACUGAAUUAUGGGUUCUGGAGGAGGUGCUAGUCUUUUCUCCGUGCCCCAUGGAGUCUAACUAUAGUGCCCUGCAUUAAUAAUUGCUUACUAAACAUUAACUAAAUUGGACCAUAAGGACAGAGAACUUAAACUCCUCCCACCCAUGGCCCUGCUAGACUUCAGUGGGUGUGGGCAGAAGAUCAUCGUGUGUCUUCAGAGGGCUGGAACACUGGAGACAUAGGAACACUAGUGCCCACAUAGUGGCUUAUAACUGUCUGUAACCCCAGUUCUCAGGGUCUGAUGCCUUCUGACUGCUGAAGACACCAGGCAUGCGUACAGUGCAUAUACAUGCAGAUAGGGAAAACAGUCAUGUACAUAAAAUACAUGAAAUAAAAAGAGGGAAAAUAGUGUGUGGGUAUUACACUAAAGCAG
rnacentral:sRNA from 1 species